rnacentral:rRNA from 1 species
AUGGGUGGCAUGAGAGGAAGGAUGGGAAUCAGCUACUUGCAUUCGCAUGGAGGAGGCAACAUCGAUGCGAUGGCACGACAGAGGAGGUUGGGCUCGUUGUGGAGCUUCUUGAGGCAGCAGGACGUCGGCGAGAGCAUCGCUGCCGGCAACGGCUCGAGAGACCUCUUGAGGAUCUUCUCCAUGAGCACCUGGGACGACACCAACUCCAACAUCAUGUUCUCAGCGCCCGACAGCAAGAAGGCCGAGGUGCUCGGCGACAGCAAUGUCUGCAUGGUCACCAGCUUCAGCAACAUCGACGCCCAGAUUCAGUUAUCCCUCUCGAGUUGGACAUGCCCAGCAUGGACGACUACCUGCAGCUGCAGUAGGACUCCGCCGACUGCAGAGUCCACGCCAAGCGUGGCUGCACAACUGACCCAUAGAACAUCGCUUGGGAGGGAAAGAAGAACAAGGAUCAAUAAGAGGCUAAGGAGGCUGCAAGACCUCAUUCCCUACAUGGACAAGGUCACAAGGAUAUUCUGUGUCCCAAGCCCUAUAGAAUAA